UAGAUUGGGAUGAAGCAUUUAUAUUAUAUUCCAACACUUGACCCGAGGCUUUGAUGUUCUCACAUUUGCUUCUGA